CUCCCUGUUCCCCUUGUCUUCCCUUGUCAUUACAGACCUGAUUAGACCUCUGAAUGCUGAUGUCACAGCUAUCGUACCAUGUGACGUCAUUUGUUCAACCCGACAGCUUCCUGUGUAGGAAUACGUCACAGAAGCAUAAAAGUCCUCAUUUCCUUAAGCUGGAACUUCAAUACCAUCCCAAAAGAGUUUCGGUGCGCGUGACAACAAACUCGUAGUUGAUGACAUAUUUCCUAAUACAGGGUCACAUAAAUAUCUCCAUAGCCACACGAACAGAGUGGCCAGUGACUCAGUUCCUGCCAAUUUCCCCGACUUUCUUCCUGUUCAAGACUACUGGGUGCUGAUGUCACAGCUAUUGUACCACAUGACAUCAUUCGUUCAACCCCAACAGCUUCCGGUGUGGGAACAGAGCAUCACAGAAGCAUGUACAUAUGACCAAAUCUUCUACAGAAUAACGCUAAAUAAAACACCACUACAGAAAUGAGACUGACGCCAGAUAAAACUGCCCUAGAGAAUAACGCCAGAUAAAGCUGCCAUACAGAAUAACGCCAGAUAAAACACCGCUUUAAAAUAACGUUAGAUGAAACUGAGCUCCAAAAUAAUGAAACACAGUUCAGAAACUGCCAGAUAAAACUGCACUACAGAAUAACACUAUCAGAAAUGGCUUCACAAUAAUGCCAGAUGAAACUCCGCUACAGAAUAACGCCACAUGAAACCGCGCUAUAUAGAAUAACACCAUUUGAGACUAAGAUGCCAGAUGAAACUGCGCUAUAUAGAAUAGCACCAUUUGUGACUGGGCUAAGAUGCCAGAUGAAACUGCGCUGCAGAAUAACACUAGAUGAAACUGCACUAUAUAGAAUAACACCAUUUGAGACUGGGCUAAGAUGCCAGAUGAAACUGCGCUGCAGAAUAACACUAGAUGAAACUGCACUAUAUAGAAUAACACCAUUUGAGACUGGGCUAAGAUGCCAGAUGAAACUGCGCUGCAGAAUAACACUAGAUGAAACUGCACUAUAUAGAAUAACACCAUUUGAGACUGGGCUAAGAUGCCAGAUGAAACUGCGCUGCAAAAUAACACUAGAUGAAAUUGCGCUAUAUAGAAUAACACCAUUUGUGACUGGGCUAAGAUGCCAGAUGAAACUGCGCUGCAAAAUAACACUAGAUGAAACUGCGCUACAGAAUAACACAAGAUGAAAUUGCGCUGCAGAAUAACACAAGAUGAAGCUGCGCUGCAAAAUAGCACAAGAUGAAACUGCGCUACAGAAUAACACAAGAUGAAACUGCACUGCAGAAUAACACAAGAUGAAGCUGCGCUGCAGAACAGCACAAGAUGAAACUGCACUGCAGAAUAACACAAGAUGAAGCUGCGCUGCAGAACAGCACAAGAUGAAACUGCACUGCAGAAUAACACUAGAUGAAACUGCGCUAUAUAGAAAAACACCAUUUGAGACUGGGCUAAGAUGCCAGAUGAAACUGCGCUGCAAAAUAACACUAGAUGAAACUGCGCUGCAGAAUAACACUAGAUGAAACUGCGCUACAGAAUAACACAACAUGAAACUGCCCUGCAGAAUAAAGCCAUAUGAGAUUGGGCUAAGAUGCCAGAUGAACCUGCGCUACAGAAUAAUGUCAGAUGAAACUGCACUGCAGAAUAACACCAUAUGAGAUUGGGCUAUGAUGCCAGAUGAAACUGUGCUACAGAAUAACACAAGAUGAAACUGCACUGCAGAAUAAUGCCAGAUAAAACUGUGCUACAGAAUAACACAAGAUGAAACUACGCUACAGAAUAAUGCCAGGUGAAACUGGACUACAGAAUAACACCAGCAAAGACAUCGCUACAGAAUAAUAAUGCCAUUUGAGACUGUUCUACAAAAUGAAACCAGAUUAAAAAGUGCUACAUAAUAAUGUGGAAUUAAACUGCUGAUUCAUUGCAUGCUUUGAGUAGGAUAAAAUGUGGCUUGACUAUGGAAGGAAAUUUAAGAUGAUUAGAAAUCUGAAGACAAUCCAUUUUUACGGUGUAUCAACACUUAAGAUUAUUGUUUUAUACCACAAAAUAGAGUUUGCUUUUGCUAAGAUAUUAAAAUGCUAACUGUUUUGGCAACUUGACUGCUUACAACAACGUUGUAUACAAGACGGCACCUUAAUUAGAAAAAGGAGAGAUUUUCUAAAUUAAUGAAGUAAUUUGAUCAUAGACAAUUGAUUUUAUGUAAAUUUUUGAACUUCUAACCUAUUGGGAGGUGAUGUCUUUGGAGAGGCAAGGCGCCUGCUUCUUUAAAGAUGAAACGUUGGUGAAUUGCUGAAACACACUAGUUGUUCUCUA